rnacentral:snRNA from 1 species
AGAUGGUUAACUUGGGGCCUAGUUUUUCUUUUUUGUUCUAUGUGUGUCUCUCCUCAAGUUUAAUAGCAUGCCUUUCUCAGAUAGAUGUGAUUUGUUCUUUGGGAAGGGAUAUAUGACAUAACUCUGUUUCCCUACUAGAACUUGCAAACAAAGUUUCAGUUUUCAUUGAAAUGGUGUUGGUGACUACAGAAAGAGAUGUAGUUAUCACAUAAGGAAGCUUACAUGACUCACUCU